rnacentral:rRNA from 1 species
AUUGAACGCUGGCGGCAGGCCUAACACAUGCAAGUCGAGCGGAUGAAGGGAGCUUGCUCCUGGAUUCAGCGGCGGACGGGUGAGUAAUGCCUAGGAAUCUGCCUGGUAGUGGGGGAUAACGUCCGGAAACGGGCGCUAAUACCGCAUACGUCCUGAGGGAGAAAGUGGGGGAUCUUCGGACCUCACGCUAUCAGAUGAGCCUAGGUCGGAUUAGCUAGUUGGUGGGGUAAAGGCCUACCAAGGCGACGAUCCGUGACUGGUCUGAGAGGAUGAUCAGUCACACUAGAACUGAGACACGGUCCAGACUCCGACGGGAGGCAGCAGUGGGGAAUAUUGGACGAUGGGCGAAAGCCUGAUCCAGCCAUGCCGCGUGUGGGAAGAAGGUCUUCGGAUUGUAAAGCACUUUAAGUUGGGAGGAAGGGCAGUAAGUUAAUACCUUGCUGUUUAGACGUUACCAACAGAAUAAGCACCGGCUAACUUCGUG